rnacentral:rRNA from 1 species
UACGUAGGGUGCAAGCGUUAAUCGGAAUUACUGGGCGUAAAGCGUGCGCAGGCGGCUUUGCAAGACAGAUGUGAAAUCCCCGGGCUCAACCUGGGAACUGCAUUUGUGACUGCAUGGCUGGAGUGCGGCAGAGGGGGAUGGAAUUCCGCGUGUAGCAGUGAAAUGCGUAGAUAUGCGGAGGAACACCGAUGGCGAAGGCGAUCCCCUGGGCCUGCACUGACGCUCAUGCACGAAAGCGUGGGGAGCAAACAGG